AGCGGCCGCAGUAAUUUCAGCUCGAAUAGCGUAUAAAGUUGUUGCAGUUAAAAAGCUCAUAGUUGAAUUUUGGGGUUAGUAAGUUGGUCGUGCCUUCAGUAUGUACUGACUUUACUGAUUUCUCUUCUUGACGAACCAUGAUGUCAUUAAUUUGGUGUUGCGGGAAAUCAGAACUGUUAAUUUGAAAAAAUUAGAGUGUUUAAAGCAGGCUAACGCUUGAAUACAUUAGCAUAGAAUAAUGAAGUAGGACGUUAAUCCUAUUUUGUUGGUUUCUAGGAUUGACAUAAUGAUUAAUAGGGAUAGUUGGGCAUUAGUAUUCAAUUGUCAGAUGUGAAAUUCUUGGAUUUAUUGAAGACUAACUACUGCGAAAGCAUUUACCAAGGAUGUUUUCAUUAAUCAAGAACGAAAGUUAGAGGAUCGAAAAUGAUCAGAUACCAUCGUAGUCUUAACCAUAAACUAUGCCGACUAGAGAUCAGAUGAUGUUAAUUUUUUAAUGUACUCAGUUUGG
rnacentral:rRNA from 1 species